rnacentral:lncRNA from 1 species
UGAGUUGCAGGGACGGACAGACUUUUAAGGUAGGACCAUUUUGAUAGUUGGGAGACCAUGUCAAUCAAAAACCCUUUUAUUUAUUUAUUUUUUUUCAUAGCCUGAUUCUUGUUUCUAACGUAAUACAUGCACCUGAAGUUAAGUGGUUUGAUUAGAAGCAGUUAUCCAUAUUCUAAUCCUCUCUUCUAAUCCUAAACCGUAAACCCCAAACCAUAAUACAUGCCAACGUUAUUAUUUAUUAUUUAGGAUUCUAUUAUUAUUAUGAUAAUUUUAUUUUAUGUAUUGAUUUUUACUUUACUCGAAAUGACAAAUUUACCCUUAUCAUAACGGAAAAUUGGAUGAAAUUCGAG